UAAUAUUUUAAGAUGUAUUUAAAUGAGUAGUUAUUGUUGCAAACUCCAUUAGAAAUUUGAAUUGAGAUCAGUUUUGGAAAAAGGGAAAGGGAUAUGUGAAAAAAAAGGGGGGGGGGUAAAUUUUUCUCAUUUCAGAUUUCAUAAAUAAAAAGAAAAUUUCUUCAAACAUUUUUUUGAGAGGAUUAAUAUUCAACAGCAUAGUGAAUUGCUCAAAGGAAAAAAAGUAUUUUAAAUUCAUUAGACCACAUUCAUUCUGUGUCAGAAACCUAUGCUGUGUCAACUAUUUAAUCACAAUCCAAAUUUAGAGCUGAAUCCAGCUUGAAUGUUGUGUCCAUACUUGCCCAAACCGUUCAGGGUUCAACCUCUGCGGUCGUAUAAAGCUGCGCCUUGCGGAGCAUCUGGUUAUCAAUAUUUUGUGUUUUU
rnacentral:lncRNA from 1 species